UGGACAAGAGAAGUAGUGGAGAAUGAUUUUGAGAUCCUACCACAUACUUAUUAAACUAGGGCCCUACCUGCUUCGUGCUGCAGAAGAGAUUCCAGUGCCACAGAGGAGGAGGGGAAGAGGAGGAGGAGGCUUCAGGUGGACAGGUGCUGUGGAUGGGGUGCCAGGCAGUUGGAGGUCUCUAGAGAACAGAAGACUAAGAGAGUCCAUCAGGCAGCUGUGGAAUCACUCCAAGACUGCCAUGGAGAGGUGGAGGAGCCCAGAUGGGUGGUCAUGGAGGACACUUGUGAUUUAUCUGCCCAUCAGCGCCUCCCUCGUCCCCUGGCAGCCUUGUUGGCUUUCAGAAAGAGCAUGCAGAGUGUAUUCUGGAGCAGACCAUUAAGAACACCCACCUGCUAUGGGGGAGGUGAAGUCUUGACAGCCUUCAACCCGAUCCUGUAAUUUCAUUGCUAAGAUUCUCUCUCUCUCUCUCUCUCUCUCUCUCUCUCUCUCUCUGUGUGUGUGUGUGUGUGUGUGUCUCUGUGUCUGUGUCUGUGUCUGUCUCUGUCUCUCUCUUAUUUUUCUUAAAUCAGUGGUAGUAACAACUGUCAGCUGCUAUCAUUUGCAUGUAUUGAAUGCUCACUAUGAAUUGGGCCCUUGGUUCUCAC
rnacentral:lncRNA from 1 species